UACGAAGGGGGCUAGCGUUGUUCGGAAUUACUGGGCGUAAAGGGCGCGUAGGCGGUUUGACCAGUCAGGUGUGAAAUUCCCGGGCUUAACCUGGGGGCUGCACUUGAUACUGUCAGGCUUGAAUUCGGGAGAGGAUAGCGGAAUUCCCAGUGUAGAGGUGAAAUUCGUAGAUAUUGGGAAGAACACCGGUGGCGAAGGCGGCUAUCUGGACCGACAUUGACGCUGAGGCGCGAAAGCGUGGGGAGCAAACAGG
rnacentral:rRNA from 2 species